AUCCUCCAAGGCUAAAUACUCCUGAUUGACCGAUAGUGAACCAGUACCGUGAGGGAAAGGCGAAAAGAACCCCGGCGAGGGGAGUGAAAAAGAACCUGAAACCGUGUACGUACAAGCAGUAGGAGCCCCAUCACUCAAGUGCCUCGCACUGAGUGAUGCAAGAACAUCACCGAAAAUAGCGCCGAAUUUGCUAACAAGGUUGGUCGAUUUUUUCAAACCGUCGCGCAGUGUACCUAGAAGUACACGAGCAACGGAAGUUAAAAAAUCGGGCAAGAUUGAACGCAAAGGCAAGCGGGACAUUUGAGGAUGGGGUGACUGCGUACCUUUUGUAUAAUGGGUCAGCGACUUAUAUUCUGUAGCGAGGUUAACCGUAUAGGGGAGCCGUAGGGAAACCGAGUCUUAACUGGGCGAAUGAGUUGCAGGGUAUAGACCC
rnacentral:rRNA from 1 species